GACAGAGGUGCCAAGCGUUGCUCGGAAUCACUGGGCGUAAAGCGCACGUAGGCGGAUCUUUAAGUCAGGGGUGAAAUCCUGGAGCUCAACUCCAGAACUGCCUUUGAUACUGAAGAUCUUGAGUUCGGGAGAGGUGAGUGGAACUGCGAGUGUGGAGGUGAAAUUCGUAGAUAUUCGCAAGAACACCAGUGGCGAAGGCGGCUCACUGGCCCGAUACUGACGCUGAGGCACGAAAGCGUGGGGAGCAAACAGG
rnacentral:rRNA from 1 species